CUCUCCUGCUCGCCUCGUAUUCUACACACAGACCCUGCCUAUUUCCUCCCUCCCUCCCCCUCUCCUCCCUGUCCGUCUCCGUCUCCAUCGCUCUCCCUGCUCUCCCCCCUUGUGCUCCCUCCCUUUCUUUUUCUCUAAAGUGGCUGCAGCUCUCCCUUUUCUUCACUCCUUCCCUCCAUUUUUCAAGUGCUACAGGAAUGAGCAGAACAGCCUGAGUCUGACCACAAUGACAAAGAGAGAGUGAAAGGAAGGAAGGAGAGAAGCAGUGGAAGACAGUGGGGCGUGAGAAAGAGUGAGAAAAGGAGUGAAGAAGGGGAAAAACAGGGAGAGAGUGAGAAAGCGAAGUGUGUGAGGAAACAGCGAGAGGGAGGCUGGUUACAGACUGACUUUGAGACAACUGGCGGAGGAAGCCAAGAGAGCUUUACGGGCGCCAUUUCAAUCAUGACUUUGGAGUGGGAGUUUUGAAGUGUUGCUGUUGAGAAAGCCCAACCUUUGUAUUCAGAGGAGGAAGAGGUGUUGCCACACCCUACCCAGCUGAUACUAGGUACUGUAGUGAAUGUAGCCUACUGUGGGAAGCCAGAUAGCCUAGUGGUUAGAGCAUUUGGCCACAUGCAGAAAAGUUGCUGGUUUAAAUUUCCAGGGUAAACAAAAAUCUGUCAGAGUGCCCCGGAGCAAGGCACUUCACGCUAAUUGCUACCGUAAGUUGCGGUGGGUAAUUGUAUAACAAUGAAUAGAUGUGGAUGUACAACCCUGCUUCUGGAAAAGUUGUGACCCUGAGUAAAAUGCUAAUAAAAACAGAAUGCAAUGAUGUGCAAAUAAUGUAUCCCUGUAUUUCAUUUGAAAUAGUACAAAGGCAACAAAUGUUAAAACCAAGAAAUGUUAUUGUUUUUGGAAAAAUAAAAUUUUGAAUUUGAUGCCAGCAACACAUUUCAAAAAGGUCAAGACAGGCACAUGUUUACCACUGUGUUGCAUCACCUCUUCUUUUAACAAUACUCUAUAAGCGUUUGGGAACUGAAGAGACCAAUUGCUGUAGUUUUGAAAGUGAAAUGUAUUCCCAUUUUUGCUUGAUACAGGAUUUCAUCUACUCAACAGUUUGGGG
ensembl:lncRNA